rnacentral:rRNA from 1 species
ACGCGCGGAACCUUACCAGGUCUUGACAUCCUUCGCUACUUCUAGAGAUAGAAGGUUCCCCUUCGGGGGACGAAGUGACAGGUGGUGCAUGGUUGUCGUCAGCUCGUGUCGUGAGAUGUUGGGUUAAGUCCCGCAACGAGCGCAACCCUUGAUCUUAGUUGCCAGCAUUCAGUUGGGCACUCUAAGGUGACUGCCGGUGACAAACCGGAGGAAGGUGGGGAUGACGUCAAAUCAUCAUGCCCCUUAUGACCUGGGCUACACACGUGCUACAAUGGAUGGUACAAAGGGCUGCAAGACUGCGAAGUCAAGCGAAUCCCAUAAAACCAUUCUCAGUUCGGAUUGCAGGCUGCAACUCGCCUGCAUGAAGCCGGAAUCGCUAGUAAUCGCGGAUCAGCAUGCCGCGGUGAAUACGUUCCCGGGCCUUGCACUCACCGCCCGU